AGUGGAUGGGGAGCAACCUAGUUGUGCGUGUGUAAAGGUAGUGCCAAGAAAAGCGAUGAUCAUGUUGAAAAUCAAUUCCCGGUACCCGAAACCGACACAGGUGGGCAAGUAGAGAAUACUAAGGGGCGCGAGGUAACUCUCUCCAAGGAACUCGGCAAAAUGACCCCGUAACUUAGGGAGAAGGGGUGCCACCGAGAGGUGGUCGCAGUGAAGAGGCCCAGGCGACUGUUUAGCAAAAACAUAGGUCUCUGCAAACUCGAAAGAGGAGGUAUAGGGGCUGACGCCUGCCCAGUGCCGGAAGGUUAAAGAAGUUGGUCAGUUUUAGGAUGAAGCUAGCGACUGAAGCCCCGGUGAACGGCGGCCGUAACUAUAACGGUCCUAAGGUAGCGAAAUUCCUUGUCGGGUAAGUUCCGACCCGCACGAAAGGCGUAACGAUCUGGGCGCUGUCUCGGAGAGAGGCUCGGCGAAAUAGGAUUGUCUGUGAAGAUACGGACUACCUGCAUUUGGACAGAAAGACCCUAUGAAGCUUUACUAUAGCUUGGAAUUGUGUUCGGGCUUCCUGUGCGCAGGAUAGGUGGGAGGCGUAGAAGGUAUUCUUGUGGGGAUACUGGAGCCAACGGUGAGAUACCACUCUCAGGAGGCUAGAAUUCUAACUUAAUUAAGGACAGUUUCAGGUGGGUAGUUUGACCGGGGCGGUCGCCUCCAAAAAGGUAACGGAGGCGUACAAAGGUUCCCUCAGACUGGUUGGAAAUCAGUCGAAGAGUGCAAAGGCAGAAGGGAGCUUGACUGCGAGAAGUACAGUUCGAGCAGGGUGGAAACACGGUCUUAGUGAUCCGACGGUGCUGUGUGGAAGGGCCGUCGCUCAACGGAUAAAAGUUACUCUAGGAUAACAGGCUGAUCUCCCCCAAGAGUUCACAUCGACGGGGAGGUUUGGCACCUCGAUGACGGCUCAUCGCAACCUGGGGCGGAAGUACGUCCCAAGGGUUGGGCUGUUCGCCCAUUAAAGCGGUACGUGAGCUGGGUUCAGAACGUCGUGAGACAGUUCGGUCCAUAUCCGAUGUAGGCGUGAGAAUAUUGAGAGGAGCCUUCCUUAGUACGAGAGGACCGGGAAGGACGCACCGCUGGUGUACCUGUUAUGAUGCCAAUUGUAAACGCAGGGUAGCCAAGUGCGGAGAGGAUAACCGCUGAAAGCAUCUAAGUGGGAAGCCCACCUCAAGAUGAGUAUUCUGGUGUAAGGUCACGGGAAGACGACCCGUAAAUAGGCACGAGGUGGAAGUGCAGAGAUGUAUGAAGCCGAAGUGUACUAAUAGACCGUCGGCUUGACC
rnacentral:rRNA from 1 species